rnacentral:rRNA from 1 species
CAGCAGCCGCGGUAACACCGAGGGUGCGAGCGUUAAUCGGAUUUACUGGGCGUAAAGCGUGCGUAGGCGGCUUCUUAAGUCGGAUGUGAAAUCCCUGAGCUUAACUUAGCAAUUGCAUUCGAUACUGGGAAGCUAGAGUAUGGGAGAGGAUGGUAGAAUUCCAGGUGUAGCGGUGAAAUGCGUAGAGAUCUGGAGGAAUACCGAUGGCGAAGGCAGCCAUCUGGCCUAAUACUGACGCUGAGGUACGAAAGCAUGGGGAGCAAACAGGAUUAGAUACCCGUGUAGUCCCUGUCUCUUAUAC